rnacentral:rRNA from 1 species
UACGAAGGGGGCUAGCGUUGUUCGGAUUUACUGGGCGUAAAGCGCACGUAGGCGGAUUGUUAAGUUAGAGGUGAAAUCCCAGGGCUCAACCCUGGAACUGCCUUUAAUACUGGCAAUCUAGAGUCCGGAAGAGGUGAGUGGAACUCCUAGUGUAGAGGUGGAAUUCGUAGAUAUUGGGAAGAACACCGGUGGCGAAGGCGGCUCACUGGCCCGUAACUGACGCUCAGGCGCGAUAGCGUGGGGAUCAAACAGG